rnacentral:rRNA from 1 species
GAUGAACGCUAGCGGCAGGCCUAACACAUGCAAGUCGAGGGGCAGCACGUAAAGUAACUUGUUACUUUUGGUGGCGACCGGCGGACGGGUGCGUAACGCGUAUGCAACCUACCUUACACAGGGGGAUAACGGAGAGAAAUUUCCACUAAUACCCCAUAACAUCAGAGGAGGCAUCUUCUUUGGUUAAAAACUCCGGUGGUGUAAGAUGGGCAUGCGUUGUAUUAGUUUGUUGGUGAGGUAACGGCUCACCAAGACUACGAUACAUAGGGGGACUGAGAGGUUAGCCCCCCACACUGGUACUGAGACACGGACCAGACUCCUACGGGAGGCAGCAGUGAGGAAUAUUGGUCAAUGGGGGCAACCCUGAACCAGCCAUGCCGCGUGCAGGAAGACGGCUCUAUGAGUUGUAAACUGCUUUUAUACAGGGACAAAUGUAGCCACGUGUGGUUGCUUGAGGGUACUGUAGGAAUAAGGAUCGGCUAACUCCGUGCCAGCCGCCGCCGUAAGAC